UCGCACUUAACGGAUUAAGCAUUCCGCCUGGGGAGUACGGCCGCAAGGCUAAAACUCAAAGGAAUUGACGGGGGNUCGCACAAGCGGUGGAGCAUGUGGUUUAAUUCGAUGCAACGCGCAGAACCUUACCAACCCUUGACCCCUUUUAUCGCGGUGACCAGAGAUGGCACCUUCAGUUCGGCUGGAUAAAAUGACAGGUGCUGCAUGGCUGUCGUCAGCUCGUGUCGUGAGAUGUUCGGUUAAGUCCGGCAACGAGCGCAACCCACUUCUUUAGUUGCCAGCAUUUAGUUGGGCACUUUAAAGGAACUGCCGAUGAUAAGUCGGAGGAAGGUGUGGAUGACGUCAAGUCCUCAUGGCCCUUACGGGUUGGGCUACACACGUGCUACAAUGGCAGUGACAAUGGGCUGAUCCCCAAACGCUGUCUCAGUUCGGAUUGUCUUCUGCAACUCGAAGACAUGAAGUCGGAAUCGCUAGUAAUCGCGUAUCAGCAUGACG
rnacentral:rRNA from 1 species